UUAAGCGACUAAGCGUACACGGUGGAUGCCCUGGCAGUCAGAGGCGAUGAAGGACGUGCUAAUCUGCGAUAAGCGUCGGUAAGGUGAUAUGAACCGUUAUAACCGGCGAUUUCCGAAUGGGGAAACCCAGUGUGAUUCGUCACACUAUCAUUAACUGAAUCCAUAGGUUAAUGAGGCGAACCGGGGGAACUGAAACAUCUAAGUACCCCGAGGAAAAGAAAUCAACCGAGAUUCCCCCAGUAGCGGCGAGCGAACGGGGAGGAGCCCAGAGCCUGAAUCAGUGUGUGUGUUAGUGGAAGCGUCUGGAAAGGCGCGCGAUACAGGGUGACAGCCCCGUACACAAAAAUGCACAUGCUGUGAGCUCGAUGAGUAGGGCGGGACACGUGGUAUCCUGUCUGAAUAUGGGGGGACCAUCCUCCAAGGCUAAAUACUCCUGACUGACCGAUAGUGAACCAGUACCGUGAGGGAAAGGCGAAAAGAACCCCGGCGAGGGGAGUGAAAAAGAACCUGAAACCGUGUACGUACAAGCAGUGGGAGCACAGAGCAAUCUGUGUGACUGCGUACCUUUUGUAUAAUGGGUCAGCGACUUAUAUUCUGUAGCAAGGUUAACCGAAUAGGGGAGCCGAAGGGAAACCGAGUCUUAACUGGGCGUUAAGUUGCAGGGUAUAGACCCGAAACCCGGUGAUCUAGCCAUGGGCAGGUUGAAGGUUGGGUAACACUAACUGGAGGACCGAACCGACUAAUGUUGAAAAAUUAGCGGAUGACUUGUGGCUGGGGGUGAAAGGCCAAUCAAACCGGGAGAUAGCUGGUUCUCCCCGAAAGCUAUUUAGGUAGCGCCUCGUGAAUUCAUCUCCGGGGGUAGAGCACUGUUUCGGCAAGGGGGUCAUCCCGACUUACCAACCCGAUGCAAACUGCGAAUACCGGAGAAUGUUAUCACGGGAGACACACGGCGGGUGCUAACGUCCGUCGUGAAGAGGGAAACAACCCAGACCGCCAGCUAAGGUCCCAAAGUCAUGGUUAAGUGGGAAACGAUGUGGGAAGGCCCAGACAGCCAGGAUGUUGGCUUAGAAGCAGCCAUCAUUUAAAGAAAGCGUAAUAGCUCACUGGUCGAGUCGGCCUGCGCGGAAGAUGUAACGGGGCUAAACCAUGCACCGAAGCUGCGGCAGCGACGCUUAUGCGUUGUUGGGUAGGGGAGCGUUCUGUAAGCCUGUGAAGGUGUGCUGUGAGGCAUGCUGGAGGUAUCAGAAGUGCGAAUGCUGACAUAAGUAACGAUAAAGCGGGUGAAAAGCCCGCUCGCCGGAAGACCAAGGGUUCCUGUCCAACGUUAAUCGGGGCAGGGUGAGUCGACCCCUAAGGCGAGGCCGAAAGGCGUAGUCGAUGGGAAACAGGUUAAUAUUCCUGUACUUGGUGUUACUGCGAAGGGGGGACGGAGAAGGCUAUGUUGGCCGGGCGACGGUUGUCCCGGUUUAAGCGUGUAGGCUGGUUUUCCAGGCAAAUCCGGAAAAUCAAGGCUGAGGCGUGAUGACGAGGCACUACGGUGCUGAAGCAACAAAUGCCCUGCUUCCAGGAAAAGCCUCUAAGCAUCAGGUAACAUCAAAUCGUACCCCAAACCGACACAGGUGGUCAGGUAGAGAAUACCAAGGCGCUUGAGAGAACUCGGGUGAAGGAACUAGGCAAAAUGGUGCCGUAACUUCGGGAGAAGGCACGCUGAUAUGUAGGUGAAGUCCCUCGCGGAUGGAGCUGAAAUCAGUCGAAGAUACCAGCUGGCUGCAACUGUUUAUUAAAAACACAGCACUGUGCAAACACGAAAGUGGACGUAUACGGUGUGACGCCUGCCCGGUGCCGGAAGGUUAAUUGAUGGGGUCAGCGCAAGCGAAGCUCUUGAUCGAAGCCCCGGUAAACGGCGGCCGUAACUAUAACGGUCCUAAGGUAGCGAAAUUCCUUGUCGGGUAAGUUCCGACCUGCACGAAUGGCGUAAUGAUGGCCAGGCUGUCUCCACCCGAGACUCAGUGAAAUUGAACUCGCUGUGAAGAUGCAGUGUACCCGCGGCAAGACGGAAAGACCCCGUGAACCUUUACUAUAGCUUGACACUGAACAUUGAGCCUUGAUGUGUAGGAUAGGUGGGAGGCUUUGAAGUGUGGACGCCAGUCUGCAUGGAGCCGACCUUGAAAUACCACCCUUUAAUGUUUGAUGUUCUAACGUUGACCCGUGAUCCGGGUUGCGGACAGUGUCUGGUGGGUAGUUUGACUGGGGCGGUCUCCUCCUAAAGAGUAACGGAGGAGCACGAAGGUUGGCUAAUCCUGGUCGGACAUCAGGAGGUUAGUGCAAUGGCAUAAGCCAGCUUGACUGCGAGCGUGACGGCGCGAGCAGGUGCGAAAGCAGGUCAUAGUGAUCCGGUGGUUCUGAAUGGAAGGGCCAUCGCUCAACGGAUAAAAGGUACUCCGGGGAUAACAGGCUGAUACCGCCCAAGAGUUCAUAUCGACGGCGGUGUUUGGCACCUCGAUGUCGGCUCAUCACAUCCUGGGGCUGAAGUAGGUCCCAAGGGUAUGGCUGUUCGCCAUUUAAAGUGGUACGCGAGCUGGGUUUAGAACGUCGUGAGACAGUUCGGUCCCUAUCUGCCGUGGGCGCUGGAGAACUGAGGGGGGCUGCUCCUAGUACGAGAGGACCGGAGUGGACGCAUCACUGGUGUUCGGGUUGUCAUGCCAAUGGCACUGCCCGGUAGCUAAAUGCGGAAGAGAUAAGUGCUGAAAGCAUCUAAGCACGAAACUUGCCCCGAGAUGAGUUCUCCCUGACUCCUUGAGAGUCCUGAAGGAACGUUGAAGACGACGACGUUGAUAGGCCGGGUGUGUAAGCGCAGCGAUGCGUUGAGCUAACCGGUACUAAUGAACCGUGAGGCUUAACCUU
rnacentral:rRNA from 1 species